AGGGACCCCGCAGAUUCAGACAUUUGGUUCAUGUGUUUGGCUGAUAAGCCAAUGGUGCGAAGCUACCAUCUGAGGGAUUAUGACUGAACGCCUCUAAGUCAGAAUCCCGCCUGGAAAGCGACGAUGCAUUCGUGCCUCGGCCUCGAGAGGCGUAGCUAGACGGCCGUGUGGCCGUGGAAAGAGCCCGAUUCCGACCCGAGAGGCCGCGGCAAGAGGCGGCCUCGAAGUCGGUGGAUCCUCCUGCUCGAAAGGCGGGGUGCUAAACCAUUCGCAGACGACCUAGUUGAAGAUCGGGGUGUCGUGAUCACUAGAGCAGUACAUCUCACUGCGAUUUGUUGAGAGUAAGCCUCAAGAUCUGUCGGUUUGU
rnacentral:ncRNA from 1 species